rnacentral:lncRNA from 1 species
AGAUUCUCCCGGGUCGUGUGUCAGACGCUGGGAUUCGGUUGACCGAUUUCUAGCGCCAACAGAAAUACAAUUGGGAAAAAUGAUGUUUGAUUGCCAUUGUGCACAUAAAUAAGUAACCCAAUCGAAUGGAGAUUUCUUUGGUUUCUAAUGUUGACAUGUAAGUAAGCACGUGCAACCAAAGGGAGGGUUGCUUUUUCCAAUGCGCACAUGAUUAAGUAGUAAACACAUCCAAUGGAAGGUAUGGUACAAGGAUUUCCAAUGUUGCUGGGAUGGUACAAGGAUUUCCAAUCGUAAUAAGCACACAAAAUAGACGGGAGGUUUCCUUGGUUUCCCAAUGUAAAACUCAAUAUAUAUAGUAGUUCUCUAUCCUAAAUACACCAUCCAUUCUUGUUAUAAGACAUGAUAUAAUAUGACACUAUCUCCCUUGUUACACUUAUGCGCAUAUGCCUUAUAAGAGGAGGGAGUAGUACCUAACAACGUACUUCAAUAUAAACGGAGCAGUACAUAAACGGAGGGAGUGGUACCAAGCUUUCUGAAGGUGUUCUUAUGAUAUAUCAAAGAUUUUGAAUGAUAAUUUAUUGAAUCUUGGUCCAGAUUUUCCUGAUUCUACCAAUAAAGUUUUGGUGCAGGUUACGCUGAUUGUACCAAGAAUAAGAAACGUCAAUGAAUAGACUACUAGACAUUCCACUAUUCAAAUUUUUGUCCGGCAUAUUCUACUAAGCAGAACAUCCUUUGGUCGCCAUUACCUAGCGCGGACCAGCCCUAAAAUCUUUCUGGCGCGCUAUUCAAAUAUUUAGACGCCCAGGCCAAGCCGUGUGAUAGAUGUGAAAUGUCAAUUUUCCUCCCCCCUUCCCAACAACACCCUGUUUCAUCCACCAGCAUAGCAAAAGGGUAUAUUGGUAAUGUGAUAGGGCCAUCCACCCAAUUGGCCAAAUACCCUAUCACUUCCCUCCCUCUGCCCAAAUCUUCCGCAUCCAAAAACUUUCUGCCAUCAGUUCCCCUUCACUUCCUCAAACCCAUCCCAAAUCUUCACCUACUCACCGAUAUACACAAUCUUCCCCUCAUAGCUACCACCCAUU